AGGCAAGGAUGUAUGUGCCAAACAUGGGGUAACUGCUCAGACAGCAACAGAAGUGGGAGAUCCUAAAGAUGCCAUUUGUGAAGCAGUAGAAAAAUUCAAAGUCAGCAUGCUAGUGUUGGGCAGCCAUGGUCGGGGAGCCAUAAAGAGGGCUUUUCUGGGGAGUGUCAGCAACUACUGCAUCCACAAUGCCAAGACCCCUGUUCUUGUCGUAAGGAAAAAAGAUUGAAAGAGUUGGCUGUAAAUCGUGUUAAACUUAAUUUUGCUGCAAAAACCAGUGAAGGGUGCAUACUCCUAAAGUUGUACAUCCCAGAUUUCGC